rnacentral:ribozyme from 1 species
CACAACAAAAGACUAGAAUCGAAAAAUAAAAAUCUUUUUUUUUCCUUUCGUCUUUUCUUCUCCUAAUGAUGACAAUGACGGACAACAAAAUGAAGAAUAAAUCCGCAACUGUUCUUUUUCGACGACGAGAUACAGCAGUAUUUUUGGUAACUUUUUC